rnacentral:rRNA from 1 species
GACGAACGCUGGCGGCGUGCUUAACACAUGCAAGUCGAACGGUGAAGCGCCUUCCUUUUUGGUGGGUGUGGAUGAGUGGCGAACGGGUGAGUAACACGUGAGUAACCUUCCCCCUUCUUCUGGAUAACCGCAUGAAAGUGUGGCUAAUACGGGAUAUUCUGGGUCUGUCGCAUGAUGGGUCUGGGAAAGAUAUUGUUUCGGUGGGGGAUGGGCUCGCGGCCUAUCAGCUUGUUGGUGUGGUGAUGGCCUACCAAGGCGGUGACGGGUAGCCGGCCUGAGAGGGUGGACGGUCACACGGGGACUGAGACACGGCCCAGACUACUGCGGGAGGCAGCAGGGGGGAAUAUUGCACAAUGGGCGCAAGCCUGAUGCAGCGACGCCGCGUGAGGGAUGGAGGCCUUCGGGUUGUGAACCUCUUUCGCCAGUGAAGCAGGCCUGCCUCGUUUGUGGGUGGGUUGACGGUAGCUGGAUAAGAAGCGCCGGCUAACUACGUG